rnacentral:rRNA from 1 species
AUUGAACGCUGGCGGCAGGCCUAACACAUGCAAGUCGAGCGAGCGGCGGACGGGUGAGUAAUGUCUGGGAAACUGCCUGAUGGAGGGGGAUAACUACUGGAAACGGUAGCUAAUACCGCAUACCAUCAGAUGUGCCCAGAUGGGAUUAGCUAGUAGGUGGGGUAACGGCUCACCUAGGCGACGAUCCCUAGCUGGUCUGAGAGGAUGACCAGCCACACUGGAACUGAGAAACGGUGCAGACUCCUACGGGAGGCAGCAGGGGGGAAUAUUGCACAAUGGGCGAAAGCCUGAGGCAGCCAUGCCGCGGGUGGGAAGAAGGCCUUCGGGUUGUAAAGCACUGUCAGCGGGGAGGCGUUACCCGCAGAAGAAGCACCGGCUAACUCCGUGCCAGCAGCCGCGGUAAUUC